UUUUGUUCAUGGUGACAUGGGAUUCUCCCUGAGGGCUAAGGAUUCCAUCCCAGGUCCCAUUGUUGACGACCAGUGCUGAGGAGACCCUGAAGCAGAGUGUCUGUGGAGACUCUAGAGUGACAAGAAUGUGUGUUGACAAUCAGGGACCCUACAACUUCCCAUGAUCCUUCGGGCUGGCGCUGGAACACCCAGGAUGUGUCUGCAAACAGCAGCCACUCCUGUCUCACAGCUGAGCAGUGCACACUGCCAGGGACACUGGACCGAGAGGUGACGCUGAGGGCUUGAACACUCCUGACAGCUACUGUAGACGUCCCACACUCUCUGCAGGACCACCCAGAUGUUGAUGUCCUGGACGAGGAACCACUGAAGAUUCAGAGUGACAGCACCCCGCCUAUCCCUUGCCACAGGUAUUACCUUUUGUUAUUGACGUUGCCAUCCGGGUUAUCACUCAGGCUUCGACAUUC